UGUGUUUGCUGAAGAGAUUAAACUGCUGGCAGGGUUUUUGAAACUCAAUGCCAAAGUUGUAAUCCUUUAAAUCCUUUAAUUUGACUGAACAUCCAUUAGUUCACCUUAAUUAAUUUGCAAGACAAGCUUUUCACAGUGAAGUGUAAAUUUAUGACAUGAAAGUUUGACCCCACCCUCCUCAUAACUGGAGGGGUUUUUAAUUUAACAGUAAAUCUAUACCACACCUUUCUGAAACCACAACCUGACACAUGUUUCAUGCUUGAUGUGCUGUGAAAUAAAAUACAAACCCAGCUGUCAACCCGUCUGUGUAUUUUGCUAGAGCACGUUCCUUUUACGUCAUGUUUACACAACUUUUAAUCAGAGGUAAGCCCCAGAGAACUGGGAAAUCUUUAAACUUGUAGUUUUCCAUGGAGAGCUCACCUGUGGCCCAUGUAUUAUAGCGCGAAUUUGUUUUUUAUUUUUUAUGACCAUAAGACAUGCAGUAUAUACGUAUUUUGUUAUUUUUAUUUGUUUUAUCUGGUCGUAGACAUAUGUGGACAGGCACUUGAAGGGCACCUAAUUGGGUCUUCUUCUUCAGUUGACCAAAUGAGCUUGUGUUACAUUUAAUGCCACCUGUAUUUCUGUUUCCAGAGAUACUCAUUGCAUAUUUAUUGAAAUCCAACCUGAAGAAAUAUCGUAACUGCUGCCCACCAGACUCCCCCUCGGUGCUUGUUGCUCAAGAUGAUUUAAGAACUCCGGAAACACACAAGUGAGCGCAGCAGCUUGGGGGGAGGAUGACUGAUGGCUUGUUGUCAUGAUGUUUGGGAUUGUGCCGACUCCAAGCCUCUUGGCUCAGUGAAGCUGCGAAGUGCUGCAGAACAUACUGGAGGCUAUUGUCGAGGAGUCCUCAUAUUAGCAAGAUUUCAUACCAUUCAACAAUAAAGCAAGGGCAAUCGUUAGACCUGCACGCCACGCGUGGAUGGAUCUUUUGUUUUUGUCCCGGUAUUCCCUAGAUCGUGUGUGGGCUGCGUGUACACCCAGGUAGAUCCGACUUCUAACAUCACUAUUUUUCAAAAAUGUCAAUAUUUGAAAAACGCUGACACGCUCCAUCAAUCAAACAGAUAGCCAUCUUUCAACCGGUCAAUGUGCCACACUUGAAUAUCUGUUUCUGCUCCUUCUCCAGGCUCUGCUUUGACCCUCUCUCUGCAGCAGUCCCCCCCCCUCCUCCUGCUGCUGCCCCCUCCCUUGUCCCUCAGUCAUGUUACAGAUCUCUCAUGAUGCCACAUUAAUGAUUGCAGCUAAAUGUAAAAGUCCUCCCCUCCUGGAACUGCAUUAAAGGCGCUGACCUCCGGCGCCUGCUGGUGGUGGUGACAGUCGUCUGUCAGCGCUGGUUAAUUCCCAGUCCUGUGAGGGUCAGACGUUGACACAUAAUGAGGCUUGACAGUCUUGGAGAGUUAGACAAGGGUCUGGUGUCAACGCCGACCGCAGCCGGACGAGGGGCUCAGUUCAAACGGUGGAAGGUGUGGAGCAGUGAUGUGGAACAACACCUCAGAUGUGCUAAUCAAACAUAUGGCACUUCCGGGAACAAACAGGGGCCGUCCUACAAGAUUAACAAAAAAAAAAACAAAAGUCUCUGCUGAAAGCCAUUACAGAAAUACAAUUUCUAAUACCUCCGCACAGGUCUUCGAUCGACUGCAAACAAAUUUAUAUUCAGGCGGUAAACAGAAAGCUGCAGAGAUUUAUUUAUUGAGUGUGGAGGAGAGAAACAAGGCAGCGUGUGAACCCUGAGUAACCUCCGAGCUGACAUGAAGAUGGAUCAGUGCGCCAUGCAAAUGCAUGGAGAGAAGGGAUAUAUUGCACUCAGUCAUUCAGCACAUCGCUGCCUGUAGAAUCCCAUUAACUCCCACAGCUGGGACCAUAUUUCUGUGUUGUAAGAAUGCAGUUAGAAGUUGUUCAUUACGCUGAAUUAUAUUGUAAUUACUGCAGACUUAAAAGACGCAGCAGACGACAAUGUUUAAAAAAAAGAAAAUAGGAAAAAAGAUAAGCGCAGUAACGCGUUGGAAGGAUGUGUUUAAUAAGAAAAUGCGCAGGGUUCCUACCUGAUAAAGACAAUAAUAAUUACCGUAAUAACGAUAAUAAUGGUGUUAAUAACAAUAACGCAACGCCAUGUGUGCUGAUAUAUUAAAAAUAAAUUAUAUUGUUAUAUAUUAUUGUAGAAAAAUACAUGUAUGAAAUGCUGAAAAAUAACAUUUAAAAAAUAUAAAUAUUUUUGUGGAGUGUGUUAUACCCACCACUAAAAUAUCUGUUAUAAUUCCGUUAAUCCAACCUCAGGGAUUACAUUUGUCCCGGAUUAAUUACUUAAGCCCCAUAAUUAGAAACCAUUUCAAAGGUAUUUUAAAACCGAAAUAAUAAUGAAUAAAAACUGUGUCGUGUGAAUGCACCGUCACAUGGGAUGACGUGUGAAUCAGCUGAUGUCGGUUCUUGCAGACCAGCGUUACGGUCAUUGAAGGUCAGACUCAGUGUUCGUGUGUGUGUGUGUGCACGUGAGCCAUGUUGGAGUUGAUGUAAAACAUCAGACACUAUGUAAAACCAACAAGAUGUAGAAGAACCCGAUUUGACUAAAGGUGAUAGUUAUUUAUUAUCGUAAAAUUACAUUUAUUUAGUAAUUAGUUUUUUGUCUUUUUGAAAGAAAUAAAAAACUAU